rnacentral:rRNA from 1 species
GACAGAGGGGGCGAGCGUUGUGCGGCGUCACUGGGCGGAAAGCGCGCGCAGGCGGUCGCCAAAGUGUCGUGUGAAAGCCCCCGGCUCAACCGGGGGAGGCCAUGGCAAACUCGGCGACUGGAGCGGCUGAGAGGCCCCUCGAAUUGCCGGUGUAGCGGUGAAAUGCGUAGAGAUCGGCAGGAAGACCAAGGGGGAAGCCAGGGGGCGGGCCGCUGGCUGACGCUGAGGCGCGACAGCGUGGGGAGCGAACCGG